ensembl:lncRNA
GGUGGAGACACAGGAGAUGGAGAUGCAGACAUACCCAGCUCAUACAUGCUCGGCUCAGUGCAGCCCUGGUGGUGUUUCCAGCAGCAGCAACAAGGACAGAAACAAAGAUGGUGGAGGAGGAGCCAGUGGUAUUUCUGCUCUCUUCCAUCUGCCCUCAGAGUUCUUCCACCCGGCAGGAGCAGCCAUCCCUGUACCUCCACGCAGCAGGAGCCUGCGUUUGUCCAGGGGUCUCAGGCUGACCUCGCCGGCCUCCUGGGCCUCAUUCCGAACCCCCGGAACGCACAGAAAGAAGCUCUAUACACAGUACCCCUCUCACAGCGACUCGUCCCUCGCCACGGGCAGCUCUGAGGGCAGCCUGCAGACCACCCUGGAGGAGGGCCUGAGCUUCAGUGUCUCUCCACCUCAGAACUUGGAACCAUCAGCUCCCUUACCUCACCUGCCACCCGAUGACACCACCACCAUUUCCUCUCCUGUGCAGACCCUGAAGCUGAGGCCGACCCCCUCAUCAGCUCUAACCCUUCUGGCCACCAGGGGUCACCAGCGAAGCCAGAGCAGCGGACGUGGCAGCACCAGCCCGGGCUACACCCGCGACGACUCCAUCGAUCCGUCAGACGAGGACCUGGGCAUUGGCAUCGGCUCGUCCAUUGGCGGCUGCGGCUCCAGCCAAGCAGGAAACAGCGAACACUUGUCGGAAGUGAUGAGCAGCCUGUCGCUGACCUCACUGCUGUCACCUAGCUCGCUGGUGUACCCGGGAGGAGCGGUGAAGAAGUGCAACAGCACAGGCAGCUUGGACCAAGGGGGCAUGCUGCUGUCCUCCCGUGGCAGGGAGGGCCGCAGAGAGAUUCUGGGCCUGGAGCUCAUGGACUCACAGGGCUUCCUGGCCAACCCUUGGACAGCCGACUCAAGGCAAGGAGACAGAAGAGGGGAAAAAGGCGAGAGGGAACCAGGGCUGAAAGGGAAGAGCUCAAGCCAAACAACAGUAGGGCCUUGUCGAAAAAACAGAUGAAACGUGUUGCUCACUCUUUCUUUGUCACUCCAUUCCUUGGAUCUAACCCAUCGCUGUCCCGCUGUUUCUGCUUCAUCAGUGAGACAGAGGGCCGAAUCCUCAUCUCUUACCCCGCCCAAACCUUUUCGAUACAUUUGUGACGAGUCCUGUUUUGUGCUACGUAAGGAGACAUGGUUGUGGUCUGAGACCCACGGAGCUCGUGGACGCCUGCAGAGUCUGUGGUUCACAGAGGCAGUGCAGCGAGGAAGUGGGCGGAGCAUCCGGAUGGAGGCCGGCUGGAAAAAGCAGAGAGCGGAUAUAACGUCCAUCUGCUGCGGCAGACGGAAACAACAGGUCCGACUCGACCUUCUGCUGAGAUCAGAGGUGGAGGAGAGUUCAGGAGUGUGUGUGAGAGCAGUAUGUGUGUGUGUGUGUGAGCACUGCCUCAGGUAUCUAAGGCAUGACUUCAUUUGUCCUCAUCACUGCACCUCUGCAGAGGUGUGACUGAUUUUUCUUUGUGUGUCUACGUGAGAUCAUGAGCUGGAUCGUCAUGUGACACUUUAAGCACACUCCUUUUUUGACAAAAAGCGUCGCUGCUGGACCUUUGAAUGCAUGAUGGGAUUGCAUUUAACCAAGAUUUUUACCUAUAUACGGAAGUGUAUCGAGAUGUCAGUGUCGGGUGAUGACCAUGUGAUUUCUAUUCCACUAUUUUUGUAGAGAAGAGAAUAAUAGGCACGUGCCGGUGUUUGUCCCUGUUCGACUCAUCUUCUAGGACUUUUUGUCUGCCAGUGGCUUCCAGUUUUAUAACAUUUUUUAAAAGUUGUGGACGACAACGAAGCAAAAAAUUUAAAACUGUGUGCGCUGAAGUGAUUGUUCCCUCCAGCACAUCUCCCUGUGGGAACACUGGUUCCUGCUGGAUUUUUUUUGUUCAUCAGAGGUUGGAGAUGGGAACCGCCAUAUUCACUCACCACAUGGAGGACUCCUCUGUUUGCUUUUAGCCUGAAACAAAAAACAAAAACUCAAAAAAAAUCUCUCCGAAAGCUUUAAUUUGAGCGUUACACCACAACAUAUCGAGCACAUCGGUGUUCCUUAAGCAUGGUUCUGGGAUUGCAAUACAGUAUGCUUAUUCUUGAAAUGCACUCAUCUCCUCUUCCCCAUCACACUCAGUAUGUUGUAGCAACCCACACACACACAAAUCUUUUAAUGCAAGCUUAUUUUUGGCUUCUUCUCCUCCAUCCUCUUGAUUUCUAGAGGUAGACUGUUGUAUCCCUCUGAUCAUUACCUUUAAUUUGAAUGAGGUGAUGUGAGACACUCGGAGGGUUUGACCUUUUUUAUCAUGCAAAAUCACUUUGAUGACUAUGUUCCUGUCACAUGGAGUUAGGUAUUAACAUGUGAGAGACGUGUGUGUAUGUGUGUGGGUGUGUUCUUGACUUCAGGUGUCCUGUUUGUCCGUGAGGAUACGGUUGAAGAAGGAAACACGAAGCAACCAAGGGCUGUUUUAGCUUCAGAGAUUUAUCCUCCAAUCUUUCUGAGACAAAUCUGUGUGUCAGUGAUCAAAGGUUAAAGCCUGGAAACACAGCAAUAAAUGUUCUACGUGUAUGCCCUGUGUAAAUGAU